UUGAACGCUGGCGGCAGGCCUAACACAUGCAAGUCGAACGGUAACAGGAAGCAGCUUGCUGUUUCGCUGACGAGUGGCGGACGGGUGAGUAAUGUCUGGGAAACUGCCUGAUGGAGGGGGAUAACUACUGGAAACGGUAGCUAAUACCGCAUAACGUCGCAAGACCAAAGAGGGGGACCUUCGGGCCUCUUGCCAUCGGAUGUGCCCAGAUGGGAUUAGCUAGUAGGUGGGGUAACGGCUCACCUAGGCGACGAUCCCUAGCUGGUCUGAGAGGAUGACCAGCCACACUGGAACUGAGACACGGUCCAGACUCCUACGGGAGGCAGCAGUGGGGAAUAUUGCACAAUGGGCGCAAGCCUGAUGCAGCCAUGCCGCGUGUAUGAAGAAGGCCUUCGGGUUGUAAAGUACUUUCAGCGGGGAGGAAGGGAGUAAAGUUAAUACCUUUGCUCAUUGACGUUACCCGCAGAAGAAGCACCGGCUAACUCCGUGCCAGCAGCCGCGGUAAUACGGAGGGUGCAAGCGUUAAUCGGAAUUACUGGGCGUAAAGCGCACGCAGGCGGUUUGUUAAGUCAGAUGUGAAAUCCCCGGGCUCAACCUGGGAACUGCAUCUGAUACUGGCAAGCUUGAGUCUCGUAGAGGGGGGUAGAAUUCCAGGUGUAGCGGUGAAGUGCGUAGAGAUCUGGAGGAAUACCGGUGGCGAAGGCGGCCCCCUGGACGAAGACUGACGCUCAGGUGCGAAAGCGUGGGGAGCAAACAGGAUUAGAUACCCUGGUAGUCCACGCCGUAAACGAUGUCGACUUGGAGGUUGUGCCCUUGAGGCGUGGCUUCCGGAGCUAACGCGUUAAGUCGACCGCCUGGGGAGUACGGCCGCAAGGUUAAAACUCAAAUGAAUUGACGGGGGCCCGCACAAGCGGUGGAGCAUGUGGUUUAAUUCGAUGCAACGCGAAGAACCUUACCUGGUCUUGACAUCCACGGAAGUUUUCAGAGAUGAGAAUGUGCCUUCGGGAACCGUGAGACAGGUGCUGCAUGGCUGUCGUCAGCUCGUGUUGUGAAAUGUUGGGUUAAGUCCCGCAACGAGCGCAACCCUUAUCCUUUGUUGCCAGCGGUCCGGCCGGGAACUCAAAGGAGACUGCCAGUGAUAAACUGGAGGAAGGUGAGGAUGACGUCAAGUCAUCAUGGCCCUUACGACCAGGGCUACACACGUGCUACAAUGGCGCAUACAAAGAGAAGCGACCUCGCGAGAGCAAGCGGACCUCAUAAAGUGCGUCGUAGUCCGGAUUGGAGUCUGCAACUCGACUCCAUGAAGUCGGAAUCGCUAGUAAUCGUGGAUCAGAAUGCCACGGUGAAUACGUUCCCGGGCCUUGUACACACCGCCCGUCACACCAUGGGAGUGGGUUGCAAAAGAAGUAGGUAGCUUAACCUUCGGGAGGGCGCUUACCACUUUGUGAUUCAUGACUGGGGUG
rnacentral:rRNA from 1 species